AUGGCGGACUGGGCCCCGGUGUUCAUCGCGCUGGUGCUCUUCGUCCUCCUCUCGCCGGGGCUGCUCUUCCAGGUCCCCGGCAAGAACAGGUUCCUGGAGUUCGGCAACAAGCAGACCAGCGGCGUCUCCGUGCUCUUCCACGCCGUCAUCUACUUCGCCCUCAUCUCCAUCUUCACCCUCGCCGUCCGCGUCCACGUCAUCCUUGGUUGA
rnacentral:rRNA from 1 species